ACAUAGCCCCGAUUGCAGUGGAAAUCCUUUUUUGAAAAAAAAGAUUGCAACGGAAAGCGGGAGACAAU
rnacentral:sRNA from 1 species